GCCCCUGUGGUGAAAUUGGUAGACGCGCCGCACUCAAAAUGCGGUUCCGCAAGGAGUGCUGGUUCGAGUCCGGCCAGGGGCA
rnacentral:tRNA from 1 species